GAUGAACGCUGGCGGCGUGCCUAAUACAUGCAAGUCGAGCGAACAGAUGAGGAGCUUGCUCCUCUGACGUUAGCGGCGGACGGGUGAGUAACACGUGGAUAACCUACCUAUAAGACUGGGAUAACUUCGGGAAACCGGAGCUAAUACCGGAUAAUAUAUUGAACCGCAUGGUUCAAUAGUGAAAGACGGUUUUGCUGUCACUUAUAGAUGGAUCCGCGCCGCAUUAGCUAGUUGGUAAGGUAACGGCUUACCAAGGCAACGAUGCGUAGCCGACCUGAGAGGGUGAUCGGCCACACGGGAACUGAGACACGGUCCAGACUCCUACGGGAGGCAGCAGUAGGGAAUCUUCCGCAAUGGGCGAAAGCCUGACGGAGCAACGCCGCGUGAGUGAUGAAGGUCUUCGGAUCGUAAAACUCUGUUAUUAGGGAAGAACAAAUGUGUAAGUAACUAUGCACGUCGUGACGGUACCUAAUCAGAAAGCCACGGCUAACUACGUG
rnacentral:rRNA from 1 species